rnacentral:rRNA from 1 species
GCGGCGCGCCUAACACAUGCAAGUCGAACGAGCGAGAGAGAGCUUGCUUUCUCAAGCGAGUGGCGAACGGGUGAGUAACGCGUGAGGAACCUGCCUCAAAGAGGGGGACAACAGUUGGAAACGACUGCUAAUACCGCAUAAGCCCACAGGUCGGCAUCGACCGGAGGGAAAAGGAGCAAUCCGCUUUGAGAUGGCCUCGCGUCCGAUUAGCUAGUUGGUGAGGUAACGGCCCACCAAGGCAACGAUCGGUAGCCGGACUGAGAGGUUGAACGGCCACAUUGGGACUGAGACACGGCCCAGACUCCUACGGGAGGCAGCAGUGGGGAAUAUUGCACAAUGGGGGAAACCCUGAUGCAGCGACGCCGCGUGGAGGAAGAAGGUCUUCGGAUUGUAAACUCCUGUUGUUGAGGAAGAUAAUGACGGUACUCAACAAGGAAGUGACGGCUAACUACGUGCCAGCAGCCGCGGUAAAACGUAGGUCACAAGCGUUGUCCGGAAUUACUGGGUGUAAAGGGAGCGCAGGCGGGAAGACAAGUUGGAAGUGAAAUCUAUGGGCUCAACCCAUAAACUGCUUUCAAAACUGUUUUUCUUGAGUAGUGCAGAGGUAGGCGGAAUUCCCGGUGUAGCGGUGGAAUGCGUAGAUAUCGGGAGGAACACCAGUGGCGAAGGCGGCCUACUGGGCACCAACUGACGCUGAGGCUCGAAAGUGUGGGUAGCAAACAGGAUUAGAUACCCUGGUAGUCCACACCGUAAACGAUGAUUAAUGGGUGUUGGAGGAUUGACCCCUCCGUGCCGCAGUUAACCAAUAAGUAUCCACCUGGGGAGUACGACCGCAGGGUGAAACUCAAGGAAUUGACGGGGGCCCGCACAAGCAGUGGAGUAUGUGGUUUAAUUCGACGCAACGCGAAGAACCUUACCAAGUCUUGACAUCCUGCGACGCACAUAGAAAUAUGUGUUUCCUUCGGGACGCAGAGACAGGUGGUGCAUGGUUGUCGUCAGCUCGUGUCGUGAGAUGUUGGGUUAAGUCCCGCAACGAGCGCAACCCUUACUGUCAGUUACUACGCAAGAGGACUCUGGCAGGACUGCCGUUGACAAAACGGAGGAAGGUGGGGAUGACGUCAAAUCAUCAUGCCCUUUAUGACUUGGGCUACACACGUACUACAAUGGCGUUAAACAAAGAGAAGCAAGACCGCGAGGUGGAGCAAAACUCAGAAACAACGUCCCAGUUCGGACUGCAGGCUGCAACUCGCCUGCACGAAGUCGGAAUUGCUAGUAAUCGUGGAUCAGCAUGCCACGGUGAAUACGUUCCCGGGCCUUGUACUAACGGCCCGUC